rnacentral:rRNA from 1 species
GAUGAACGCUGGCGGCGUGCCUAAUACAUGCAAGUCGAGCGAACGGGCGAGAAGCUUGCUUCUCUGAUGUUAGCGGCGGACGGGUGAGUAACACGUGGAUAACCUACCUAUAAGACUGGGAUAACUUCGGGAAACCGGAGCUAAUACCGGAUGAUAUUUUGAACCGCAUGGUUCAAAAGUGAAAGACGGUCUUGCUGUCACUUAUAGAUGGAUCCGCGCUGCAUUAGCUAGUUGGUAAGGUAACGGCUUACCAAGGCAACGAUGCAUAGCCGACCUGAGAGGGUGAUCGGCCACACUGGAACUGAGACACGGUCCAGACUCCUACGGGAGGCAGCAGUAGGGAAUCUUCCGCAAUGGGCGAAAGCCUGACGGAGCAACGCCGCGUGAGUGAUGAAGGUCUUCGGAUCGUAAAACUCUGUUAUUAGGGAAGAACAUAUGUGUAAGUAACCGUGCACAUCUUGACGGUACCUAAUCAGAAAGCCACGGCUAACUACGUG